rnacentral:lncRNA from 1 species
ACCAAAGGGAACGACUCGAGAGACGGUCCAUAGGGGUUCAAAUAUAGAGGGAAAGGGCCCAUGAAUAAGAGUGCACCCCCUUUUCCAAUCGGUUAAGGGUCUUGGGAUAGUUGGAGUUAAGCGUCCUUGGGUUUGAAUAGUACUGGGCUGGGUGACCUCCCAGGAAGUCCAAACUUAAGAGCUUACAUUUGGUAUCAGAGCGGUCUCGGGUCCGACUCUGUUGGUUGGCUAAAGGAAUCACACCACAUGUUGAUUGACAUCUGGCUGGUCCAGUUUGUUCCCACUGGGCUCGACCCGAGGGGUAGGGUGUCAAGAGAGCGAGGCUCUCGGGAGAGUUGCGGCUCUCAGCUUCUGUUCACGAGGGCGUGAACUUGCAGGGAAGCAUGGUGGAUUGUAAGCAACCAAAGGGAACGACUCGAGAGACGAUCCGUUAGGGUUCAAAUAUAAAGGAAAAGGGCCCAUGAACAAGAGUGCACCCCCUUUUCCAAUCGGUUAAGGGUCUUGGGAUAGUUGGAGUUAAGCGUCCUUGGGUUUGAAUAGUACUGGGCUGGGUGACCUCUCGGGAAGUCCAAAUUCAGGGAGCUUACAGUUGUGUCUUACAUUGGCUAGUGACAAAAACCUUUGUGUAUUGAGCACUAGUUCCUCAAUAUCAUAACUUACCAUGUUCACCAAACACCUUCACUAUCAUGCCUUUGUAAGCAACCAAAAAGAAGACUUAAGAGACAAUCCAUAGGGGUUCAAAUAUAGAGGGAAAAGGCUCAUGAACAAGAGUGCAC